UAGUCCACGCCGUAAACGAUGGAUACUAGUUGUUGGGGUUUACCUCAGUGACUAAGCGAAAGUGAUAAGUAUCCCACCUGGGGAGUACGUUCGCAAGAAUGAAACUCAAAGGAAUUGACGGGGGCCCGCACAAGCGGUGGAGCAUGUGGUUUAAUUCGAUGAUACGCGAGGAACCUUACCAGGGCUUAAAUGUAAGUUGCAUGAUUUAGAGAUAGAUCUUUCUUCGGACUACUUACAAGGUGCUGCAUGGUUGUCGUCAGCUCGUGCCGUGAGGUGUCAGGUUAAGUCCUAUAACGAGCGCAACCCCUAUCGUUAGUUGCUAGCAGGUCAUGCUGAGGACUCUAACGAGACUGCCGGUGCAAACCGAGAGGAAGGUGGGGAUGACGUCAAAUCAUCACGGCCCUUACGUCCUGGGCUACACACGUGCUACAAUGGUAUAUACAGAGGGCAGCUACCCCGUGAGGGGAUGCGAAUCUUAAAAGUAUAUCACAGUUCGGAUCGGAGU
rnacentral:rRNA from 1 species